rnacentral:rRNA from 1 species
AGAGUUGAUCAUGGCUCAGAACGAACGCUGGCGGCAGGCCUAACACAUGCAAGUCGAGCGCGCCCUUCGGGGUGAGCGGCGGACGGGUUAGUAACGCGUGGGAACGUACCCUUUGGUAGGGAAUAGCCACUGGAAACGGUGAGUAAUACCCUAUGAGCCCUUCGGGGGAAAGAUUUAUCGCCAAAGGAUCGGCCCGCGUUAGAUUAGGUAGUUGGUGGGGUAAUGGCCUACCAAGCCUACGAUCUAUAGCUGGUUUUAGAGGAUGAUCAGCAACACUGGGACUGAGACACGGCCCAGACUCCUACGGGAGGCAGCAGUGGGGAAUCUUGGACAAUGGGGGCAACCCUGAUCCAAGCCAUGCCGCGUGAGUGAAGAAGGCCUUAGGGUCGUAAAGCUCUUUCGCCUGUGAAGAUAAUGACGGUAGCAGGUAAAGAAACCCCGGCUAACUCCGUGCCAGCAGCUGC